rnacentral:rRNA from 1 species
AAUAGAUACCGGGUAGUCCACGCCGUAAACGAUGAGUGCUAAGUGUUGGGGGGUUUCCGCCCCUCAGUGCUGCAGCUAACGCAUUAAGCACUCCGCCUGGGGAGUACGGUCGCAAGACUGAAACUCAAAGGAAUUGACGGGGGACCCGCACAAGCGGUGGAGCAUGUGGUUUAAUUCGAAGCAACGCGAAGAACCUUACCAGGUCUUGACAUCCCGGUGACCACUAUGGAGACAUAGUUUCCCCUUCGGGGGCAACGGUGACAGGUGGUGCAUGGUUGUCGUCAGCUCGUGUCGUGAGAUGUUGGGUUAAGUCCCGCAACGAGCGCAACCCUUAUUCUUAGUUGCCAUCAUUCAGUUGGGCACUCUAAGGAGACUGCCGGUGAUAAACCGGAGGAAGGUGGGGAUGACGUCAAAUCAUCAUGCCCCUUAUGACCUGGGCUACACACGUGCUACAAUGGACGGUACAAACGGUUGCCAACCCGCGAGGGGGAGCUAAUCCGAUAAAACCGUUCUCAGUUCGGAUUGUAGGCUGCAACUCGCCUACA